AGCCCUGUGUCAGGCUCCACGCUGAGCAUAGAGCCUGCUUAAGAUUCUCUCCCUCUCUCUCUCUCUCUAGCUCUCUCUCUCUCUCUCAAAAAGGAGAUCCAUCUAGAAAAUGUCUUGCUUUUAAACCAGUUUAUUUAUUCAUUAUUAUAAUUCUUAAAAAUUCACUCGUCAGCAAAAGCUCCUGACUUGGCAAUAGACAGUAAGAUGUUAUCUGGCCGCCAGCCAAACCAUCUUAAAACAUAAUCACUCUUUCAACACUGUUCCUUUGAGCGUGACUGACCCAUGAGCACUUCUGAACAUUGAGUGCAGCUGAGGUCCAAGCGCUGUUUUGCCUCCCAUGUCAGAGGCCCCUGAACCCUCACCCUUCUUUCGGACUCUCCUGUGUAAUAUGUAGAUUUUGUGCAGCUCCUAACAGCUCUCGGCACUCCGGCCUUUGUUUACCGUGCACAUGGGCCAGCGCCCUUCUCUCAAAAACAGGAAAAUUGUAUUGUUUUGGAUGAGAGGCUAAUGGGGACUUUGGAAGGAAGCUAACUAAGGGUGUGUAGGAGCUGCUGCACAGGAGGGGUCAAGAGCUGGGGGAGAGUGGCCAGAUUUCAGAAGGUCACUUUGGUUUAGGAAGUGAAGCUUUGUGGGAGGGGGGAAAGGUGAGCAUAUGCGUAGCCAGCCAUGUCAGCCCGGUCCGAUUUCAUGGUGGUGAUUACUGAGUGAUUUCUGGAUUAGCCUUUCACACGUGCAGGUUCAUUGAGCACUGGCCACUUCCUUCUCCUUGUUUUCUUUGCUUUUGAAACUUUUGCCCCACCUCUCUUUUUCCCCUCACUCACUCAGGAAGAUUUACAUGCAGACAUUUUUAGGUUGGCAGGGAACGACAGCUUCUCAGAAAAUGUGUGGCACCGUGCGGUAAGGUGAUAUUAGACCAAGGCACAAGGCUCGCAUUCCCCUUGGGAUGAACCUAGUGAGCACGAAGGACAGAGAAUGCCCAGCAAGGCCAGGACCGGUGAGACCUGUGUAUGAAAAAGUCUAAAGAUGGUGUUCGUCUACCCAGGUUGCUAUUUACUGCCUCAGAAGGAUGAGUCAUUCUCUGUUUACACUGAGGGACUGAAGUUAUGCCUGUUUGCGGCGAGCAGUGUAACCAAGUCGUGAAGAUGCCAUGACAGUAACUGCUCUCUGGGCGUCUCAGAAUCUCAGAGCCUCCAACUCUGGACGGAACUUGCUACAGGAGACGCCGCCCCCUGUAGACUGGGCGAAAGGAGCUCUACUAAGAAAUAAACCAAAUUUAAAAAACAAACAACCCCCUCCAACCCUGCCUAGGGCUUUUAAAGAAUACAGAACUUUCCAGCAGCCAAGUGGCAUUGUCAGCGGUGGGCUAGGAUUUUACACCCCGUAGGAACCGAACGGGGAUGUGCGGGGAUCUGAGGGAAUAAUAUUAAUGGCUUGAGUUGGUCCCAGAUGGAAGCUCGCUGUGUUUAUACCAAAACGCUGCUCUGCUUCCUUACGAGGAAGAUAGAGGCUCUGUUGAGUCGUUUAAGCAAAACCUUGCAGAGCACAUGUGGCCGUCUGGGAUUUGCAACAGAAGAACAAGCCAGUGGGAGAAGGAAGGGAGAGAGAGCCAGGUCACAGGAGGCAAUGUGGUAGACACUAUGAGCGUCUCCUGGUGUCUCAGCGCUUCCCAAACUGCUGGUCCGGGCAAGCCACCUGAAUUCUCCAGAACGUGCAGGUUCUGACAAGGCAGGUCUGGGGCGGGGCUUGCAAUGCUUCAUCUCUAACAAGCUCCCAGGUGACGCCAAUGUUGCUGGCCCCUGAACCACACUUUAAGUAGCAAGGAGUCAGGGUAACUGCUUCACCUAUCCUCUUCCUUGGUCGAGCCCUAAAGGUCAGGUGCUUACCUGCACGGGGUUCAGGUGAGAGUAACUCCCGCUCAGUCCCACCGGGCAAGCAUGUUAAUCAGCCCAAGCCCAUCAUGGUAAUUCUACUCCCUUUGCCAGUGAUUGGCUCGGGACGGGCCAUGUGAGCCAUCUUGGUCAAGGAGAGAAAAGGAAAACCGUCGGGGGUGGGGAGAAAGACAUGUUUAGAAAGGCCUUUUUUUUUUUUUUUUCUUUUCUUUUUGCUCUGAUAAAGCUUCCCAGGAUGGCUGUUUGCCACUUCCUGGUUUUGGAGAUUCCCCGGUGAGGAUGGGAUUCUUGGAGCUUCUGUGCUUAGUCUACAAGUUUAAGGAGAGAUCUCCCUGGCCCCUUCCCCCUACCUCUCCGUUAGAUCCUGUCUUUGUCCGCACCUACCCUCGUUGAAUCUUCCUUCAACAAUAGAAUCCCAUGGGGAGCUAUUUUGGACCCUCUUUUCAUCUCUCAUUCUUCACGUUAGAGUUUUCAAACUGUGGGUAGCAACUCACCGGCAGGUCAUGAAAUCACCACAGCAGGUUGUGCCCAGCACCGGGAGAAAGAACAGAGUAUCCCUGAACGUUCCCCGUGGUAGAGGUAAGAUUUGGUCAGGUUCAUUUGCGUUGGUGACGUAUGCGGGAUAGAAAAUGUAUUUCUUAUUCUAGGGCCUCCUCGAACGUUGAGAUCUACAGGUUUUUGCACUCUCGUUCAUUGCUAGGAUUCUCAAACCUCUCUCUACUUCCGUUUCUACCUGCAUGUCUUUCUUGGUUCCAAAGCUCUGUCUUCACCCACCCGCUCACCAUGUGCACUCGGAAAGCUCAGCAAUCCACAUCGCGAGCUCAGCUCAGCACUAUCCCUUUCAGGCCUGCACCGUGCUCCCUCACCACCCACUCCACCCCUCCUCCUCGCUGCUCAUGUGUUAGGAAAGGGCACUACCAUCACCCCCGCCUAGUCCAACUGAAUCCUGGGAGUCCUUCUUGGCCCUUCACACCCAACAUACUGCCUUUACGAACUUGGUUUAUUUCACUCCUGUGCCUCUUUCAACAAGGUCUCUUUCAGAUACCUUUCGCCUCUCCCCAUGAGUGCCACCCUUCUGAUCCCAAGCACUGUCUUCUUGCUUCCUAACUCAACCUCUCCACGUCUUCUCUCACCCCUUGGCAAUCCGUUCUCAUGCUGCGGCCAGAGGGACCAACUAACCGUGGCACCUCCCUAUGAAAUCGAAGGGUGAAGCCACCAAUCAGUAAACUGGCUGGGAAGGAAGUCCGUAACUGGUUUCUCACCAUCUCCUCUGUCUGGUCCUCACACGUGCCAUCUGGGGCUCUCGCAGCCUUUCGAAUGUUCUGUAUUGCCUCACGUUUGGGCCCCUGGAGGUUCUCUUCCUCCCAGGAGCUCUCUUUUGCCAUCAUCUCUUAAUGACUCAAACCUUCCUUGCUUGUUGAAAUCUCAGAUGGCUAUAAACUCUUCAGGAAAGCCUUCCUUGGCUCCUGAAUAAGAUUGGGUCAUUCCAGCAUAAAGCACAGCAUAAUUGGAAUUAUUUACUCAUCGUGAAGUCUUUUUCCCUAUAAGACUAUAUACACUUGAUCCAGGCAAGGACCGCAUCUGCUCUGUCUCUGCCCUGGAACCAUAGCACAAAGCCCAGGGGCUGAUACAUGGUAGUGGUUCUUUCCUUUUUAAAUAGAUAAAAGUGUUUAAGACCUUUCUUGGAUUAAUUAUGACGACCAGUUGUGAAUCAUUUUUACAGAGCAGCCAAUGGCCUGAAAGUGGUAUGUGGCCAGUUGAAAUAUCCUGGGAGGUUUACACCUGGUUUUUUUGUUUUUUUAGUUUAUCUUGAGAGAGAGCAAGACCAUGAGCAGGGGAAGGGCAGAGAGACAGGGAGAGAGAAAAUCCU